rnacentral:rRNA from 1 species
UACGUAGGGUGCGAGCGUUAUUCGGAAUUACUGGGCGUAAAGCGUGCGCAGGCGGUUUUGUAAGCCAGAUGUGAAAUCCCCGGGCUCAACCUGGGAAUGGCAUUUGGGACUGCAAGGCUCGAGUGCGGCAGAGGAGACUGGAAUUCCUGGUGUAGCAGUGAAAUGCGUAGAUAUCAGGAGGAAUACCGAUGGCGAAGGCAGGUCUCUGGGCUGACACUGACGCUCAUGCACGAAAGCGUGGGGAGCAAACAGG